rnacentral:rRNA from 1 species
UACGUAGGGGGCAAGCGUUGUUCGGAAUUACUGGGCGUAAAGGGCUCGUAGGCGGCCAACUAAGUCAGACGUGAAAUCCCUCGGCUUAACCGGGGAACUGCGUCUGAUACUGGAUGGCUUGAGUGUGGGAGAGGGAUGCGGAAUUCCAGGUGUAGCGGUGAAAUGCGUAGAUAUCGGAAGGAACGCCGGUGGCGAAAGCGGCGUGCUGGACCCCUUCUGACGCUGAGGCGCGAAAGCCAGGGGAGCAAACGGG